UGGAAGGAGAGAAGAGGACCGUCGAGGU
rnacentral:piRNA from 1 species